GCGCCUUCUGCAGCCAUGGCCAUCUGGCCCCCUGCUCGCUAUCCCACCAUGCACUGCGCGGGGGCCUCCUGGAGGGCAGCCCGGGGCAUGCUGGGAGGAGGGGCAAGAAGGGCUGUUCAGAGGGCGGAAGUAGUGCAAGGAGCCACGUAGGAACGCCUAAGAAAGCCCCACGAGAAAGCCGGGCCAGCUAAGAAGGCUGAAUGAUGCAUCCUCCAUCUGAUACAUUCUCUUGCCGUCGGUGUAAGAUUUAACUUGCCUUCUCUGAGCCAACAACACUCAGUAGGUGCUGCACUGUGGAUUUCUCAUUGCCCAGAGACUGACAGAGAACUUUAGAACAUCAGGGAAGAAUCAGUGGUAUCUCUGACUGCCGCCUCCUCCUGGCCUCAGCUCUGGGAUGGAAUGAGGAAUCAGAGUCCCUGGGUCCUGCAGGAGGACCUCCAAGCUGACCACCACUCUGGUCCUUACCCCACAGUCAUCCGGCGACUUGCCCUCCUGUCCUUCACACCACCUUCAGCUGUCCACAGUAGCAGCCUUCAAAAUGGACUCCCUGUUCUCUCCCACUGCUCAUGGUAGAGCUACCUCUUCUGAAGAGAAAGCCCAUGCUCUUCUCUUGGCCCACAAGGCCCUGCUCCAUCUGGGCCCUCUAACCUCCCCAGCCUCAGUCUUCUGGCCUCUUUCACUUCCCCAAACUCAGAGCCUUACUGCACAUUACCUGCUGUUCACUCUGACAGAAUGCCUUUCUACCCUCUGCCCUCACUGUGACUAACCAAACUCCUUGGUAUUAGGGGAGGUCUCACCCUGGAGAACCACCUCCUCCCCAGAAGACUUCUCAGACUCACAUCCGUCCACCCCACCUCACCCUCCUCUGGACUGGGUUCUUCUCAGGCACUUUCCCUUCACAGUACCCUCUGCAGGGAGACAUGUGUUGAUGGGAAUCUUUGAUUAACGUUUUUCAUGCCCACUAGACUGUGGACUUCACAAGGACAGUACCCUUUUGGUCUUACCACCUUGGUUUUCUCAGUCCCUACCCCCAACACAUCUUUUGAAUAAAGA